AGAGUUUGAUUCUGGCUCAGGAUAAACGCUGGCGGCGCACAUAAGACAUGCAAGUCGAACGAAAGUCGUUAUAAAAUGAAUUGAAGAUUUAUCUGAUUGAAGUUUUAUAACAAUGGCUUUAGUGGCGGACUGGUGAGUAACGCGUGAGCAACCUGCCUAUUAGAGGGGAAUAACAGUGAGAAAUCAUUGCUAAUACCGCAUAUGCCAUAGUCAUCACAUGAUGAUAGUGGGAAAGGAGUAAUCCGCUAAUAGAUGGGCUCGCGUCUGAUUAGAUAGUUGGUGGGGUAACGGCCUACCAAGUCAACGAUCAGUAGCCGGACUGAGAGGUUGAACGGCCACAUUGGGACUGAGAUACGGCCCAGACUCCUACGGGAGGCAGCAGUCGGGAAUAUUGCGCAAUGGAGGAAACUCUGACGCAGUGACGCCGCGUAUAGGAAGAAGGUCUUCGGAUUGUAAACUAUUGUCGUUAGGGAAGAAAAAGGACAGUACCUAAGGAGGAAGCUCCGGCUAACUACGUGCCAGCAGCCGCGGUAAUACGUAGGGAGCAAGCGUUAUCCGGAUUUAUUGGGUGUAAAGGGUGCGUAGACGGGAUAAUAAGUUAGUUGUGAAAUCCCUCGGCUCAACUGAGGAACUGCAACUAAAACUGUUAUU
rnacentral:rRNA from 1 species